UACGUAGGGUGCGAGCGUUGUCCGGAUUUAUUGGGCGUAAAGAGCGUGUAGGCGGCCAGGGAGGUCCGUUGUGAAAACUCGAGGCUCAACCUCGAGACGCCGGUGGAAACCAUCAGGCUAGAGUCCGGAAGAGGAGAGUGGAAUUCCUGGUGUAGCGGUGAAAUGCGCAGAUAUCAGGAAGAACACCCGUGGCGAAAGCGGCUCUCUGGAACGGUACUGACGCUGAGACGCGAAAGCGUGGGAGCGAACAGG
rnacentral:rRNA from 1 species